rnacentral:rRNA from 1 species
AUACGGAGGGUGCAAGCGUUACUCGGAAUCACUGGGCGUAAAGCGCGCGCAGGCGGUCUUUUAAGUUGGAUGUGAAAGCCUACGGCUCAACCGCAGAACUGCAUCCAAAACUAUUAGACUAGAGUGUGGGAGAGGAAGAUGGAAUUAGUUGUGUAGGGGUAAAAUCCGUAGAGAUAACUAGGAAUACCAAAAGCGAAGGCAAUCUUCUGGAACACUACUGACGCUGAGGCGCGAAAGCGUGGGGAGCAAACAGGAUUAGAAACCCCAGUAGUCC